rnacentral:tRNA from 1 species
GGUAGCGUGGCCGAGCGGUCUAAGGCGCUGGUUCUAGGCACCAGUCACCUCGGAGGCGUGGGUUCGAAUCCCACCGCUGCCA